rnacentral:misc_RNA from 1 species
CGCUGUUUCUGACGCCGCUCGCGUUGCUGCACGUGGCGCCGGGAUUCGAGUCGUUCGCGCGGGAAGUCGCCGGGACUGCGGCUGGCUCCGGCCCAGGCCUGAAGCCAAGCGCACUCAUCGCGGGCGGGGUGGUACUGCUGAUCGUCGCGGUGAUGGCAGUGCGAGGUCGAUCCCGCCGGGCUCCGGUGGAAUCUGCCGUCGUUGCCGGAAGUCAGCGACCCGCGCAGAACGGUCGGGCGGAUGCGGCGGGGUCGGCGAGUGACGCAUCGACGUCGGCGAGCGACACGUCGACGUUGGUGUUGGAUGCGAGUGCCACGAGCCGCAAGUCGGGGCCCCUGGGUCGGAUGAGGGAGGCGAUCAUGCGAAUCGCCACCAGCGUCCAGCAUCUGUUCGGCCGGCUGUCCGCCGCAUGGGAACAGGGAUCCCUGUGGGUCGGUUUGAUCUUCGGCAUGUUCUAUCUGCCGUCGCUGACGCUGGUGUUGCUCGUCGACACCUCCAUCGUGACGUCGGGGGCCGGGAUCGGCGAACAGAUCGGCGCUGCGCUCGUCUUCGUGUUCGGCUUCCUGGCGGUGCUGGAGCUGACCCUGUUGAGUUAUCUCGUCGCACCCGGGAAGACGGAAGUCGUGCUGCGACCGCUGCACACGUGGGCGCGCGCUCACAACCGGCAGAUCAUGCUCACCUUCUUCGCGCUGGUCGGCAUCUGGCAGGUGGCACGCGGCUUGGGUCUCGCUGCCUGACCUCGCCACGCCGUCCGGGGAUUACACCGUUCGGGCCAGCCGAUCGGCCAGCAAGCCGGCGAACUUCGCCGGGUCCUCUGGGACGUCGCCCUCGGCGAGCAACGCCGUGCCGUAGAUCAAUUCGGCGGUUUCGGCCAACGACGAAUCGUCGGGGCCGCGGGUCUUCCGCGCCUGCUGCAGGCCGGUGAUGAGCGGAUGCUUCGGGUUGAGUUCGAGGAUCCGCUUGACGACGGGAACCGCUUGUCCGGACGCCCGGUACAUGCGCGCGAGCGCCGGAGUCAUCCCGAACGUGUCGGUCACGAGGCACGCGGGUGACUCGGUGAGGCGGGAGGACAACCGCGCCUCCUUGACGUGAUCACUCAAGGUCUCCUUCAACCAGUCGAGCAGCUCGGCGAACUCCUUUUCCUGCUCUUGGCGUUCCGCCUCGUGGGCUGCCUUCUCGUCCUCCGAGUCGAGAUCCACCUCGCCCUUGGCCACCGACUGCAGCGGCUUGCCGUCGAAUUCGGUCACCGACCCCACCCAGACCUCGUCGACCGGGUCGGUGAGCAGCAGCACCUCGUACCCCUUCGUCUUGAAGGCCUCCAGAUGGGGUGACUUCACGAGUUGCUCGCGUGACUGCCCGGUGGCGUAGAAGAUCUGCUGCUGACCAUCCUUCAUGCGUCCGACGUAUUCGGCCAAGGUGGUGAGGUCCUCGCCGCUGUGGGUGGAGGCGAACGACGAAACGCGCAGCAGGGCGUCCUGGUUGUCGAGGUCCGACAUCAGGCCUUCCUUGAGCACCGCGCCGAACUGGGUCCACAACGUGCGGUAGUCGGUGGGCCGUUCCGACUGCAGAUUCUCGAUCGUCGACAGGACCUUCUUCGUGACCCGUCGGCGGAUCGCCGCGACCUGCCGGUCUUGUUGCAAGAUCUCGCGAGAAACGUUGAGCGACAGAUCCUGCGCGUCGACGACGCCCUUGAUGAAGCGCAGGUACGGCGGAACGAGGUCUUCGCAGUCGUCCAUGAUGAAGACCCGCUUGACGUACAACUGCACCCCGGUCCUGGUGUCGCGGUUGAAGAGGUCGAACGGUGCCUGCGAGGGAAUGAAGAGCAGGGCCUGGUAUU